rnacentral:rRNA from 1 species
GGGCACCCGCAAGGGGCUCUCACCACGAGAUGAGUCCGCGUCCCAUCAGCUAGUUGGCGGUGUAAUAGACCACCAAGGCUUAGACGGGUAGCUGGUCUGAGAGGAUGACCAGCCACACUGGGACUGAGACACGGCCUAGACUCCUACGGGAGGCAGCAGUGGGGAAUAUUGGACAAUGGGCGAAAGCCUGAUCCAGCCAUGCCGCGUGAGUGAUGAAGGCCUUCGGGUCGUAAAGCUCUGUGGGGAGGGACGAAAAAGCGUGACCUAAUACGUCUCGCCUUGACGGUACCUCCUUAGCAAGCACCGGCUAACUCCGUGCCAGCAGCCGCGGUAAUACGGAGGGUGCAAACGUUGCUCGGAAUUAUUGGGCGUAAAGCGCACGUAGGCGGUCCGCUAAGUCGGAUGUGAAAGCCCUCGGCUUAACCGAGGAAGUGCAUCCGAAACUGACGGGCUAGAGUACGGAAGAGGGUUUCGGAAUUCCCGGUGUAGAGGUGAAAUUCGUAGAUAUCGGGAGG